rnacentral:tRNA from 1 species
CGGGAUGUAGCUCAGCUUGGUAGAGUACUGACUUCGGGAGCCAGGGGCCGGAGGUUCGAAUCCUCUCAUCCCGA